CUUGAUUGACCAUGCUGUAGGUAUGUUACUGUACAUUUAAUAUGCUUUAUGGACUUAAUUUGGUCAGAGGCUGCUAUCCGAUUUUGUGGUAAAACAACGGUGUGAUUGAUUUUUUUUCUGCCUCUGUCCUCUUAUUGUCUCUGCCUUUCGGUCUAUAUACCAGGGCCGCAAGGCAUAUGAAUUAACAGGUUAUGGAGCAAACAACACAAUUACCACAUAAUGGCUUUAAUUCGGGGGGGGGCUUGGCAUCCCAAGUGAUUUUACCCACGCACUGCUAUUGGGAAUGUCCAAUUUAAACCAUACCAUACCAGAAUGUCCAUUUUGACCAUACCAAAAUGUAUUUAACAAUGUACCCUGCAGCUUUACUUCCCAUCUCUCAAUAGGUAGGUCAUGAACACAGCGAGGAAAGGAGCUGGUAAGAUGGAUAAUAAUAGAAAAUAGCCUAAGAUUUGAGUCUUAGCAGCUACCUUGGAACAGCCCUUUGCGCGAAUGGCAGUGUUUCAUGCCUCUGCAGGACUUAGCACAGUUUCCAAAUAUACAAAAUGAUAGGUGAGUGUAUUGACAGCACCUACAUAUAUUGGUCUAUAGCCUACAUCUUAUCUGACAGGAUAAAUAAACGGUGCUUGUUGCCAUAACACAUUAUUCACUAGGUCUGCAAACUCAAGCAAUUAUUACAAUCUAAAAGUAAAUACCAUGUUAUUGUAGUUAAGUAGGCUGUUAUACGUGUAUAAUUUGUAUUUGAUAGGCUAAGUCAUGGCAGUGUCUUCCGAAUGUCUGCGACUCGAGAGUCAAGGCAAAUGGUAGCCUAACCUGCGUGCAUAGCAUAAAUGUUUACCAAAAGAGGGCGUGCGCUCAUUGGAGUUCGAACGCACUUGUUUGUGGCCAUUGUGGGUCUUAUUGCAUUAAUUGUCCCAUAUAGCUAGUUGGUAGAGCAUGGCGCUUGCAACCGUUUAGAAACUACAGCAAUUUCUGCACAUAGUCCCCCAAUUUUAUGGGCGAAAAGGUGUUGGGACAAAUGUGUAUUAAAGUUAUAAAAAGUUAAGUAUUUGGUCCCAUAUUCAUAACACGCAAUGACUACAUCAAGCUUGUGACUCUACACAUUUUUGGGAUGCAUUUGAUGUUUGUUUUGGUUGUGUUUCAGAUUAUUUUGUUCCCAAUAAAAAUAAAUUGAAAAUAAUGUAUUGUGUCAUUUUGGAGUCACUUUUAUUGUUGAUAAGAAUAUAAUAUGUUUCUAAACACUUCUACAUUAAUGUGGAUGCUACCAUGAUUAGGGAUAAUCCUGAAUGAAUCGUGAAUAAUU
rnacentral:lncRNA from 13 species